GAUGAUAGGAGGGUACUCAAGCCACUUAAUCAAUUGGAGGCAUUAGAGACUAGCUUUGAAGUGCUUCAAAGUGGAUUAGAAUGCUUGUUCAGGCAACUAAUCCAAAGAGUGCAUUAACAGUCUUUUGGUUAAAGAGUGCUCGUACGGAAGUUGCAUGUAUCCUCCUUUUGAAGUCAAUUGGCUUACUGUUAUUGGAAGAAUGCUUCUCACAAAACAUCAUUUACUUCAAUCUUUGUGUCCAACGAGUGCAUUGCUUGCAAGGAUGUGGAUGGCGUGAAGGUACAGAUGGCACAAGAUCAGUCGGAGGCAUCGCAUUUCAACUUGAAGGUCUUGAGACUAGAUUAGAAUGCCUGUUCAGGAGACUAACCCAAAAUAGAGUUUCUCUUCUUAACAUCCUUGGCCUUUUGGGAUCUCCUAAACCUUGUGGCCAAUACAAAUUGCAUCAUCCGCAUCCAAAUUUCCAAGGGUUGCUGAUGGUUCUCUUCACAGUCCAACUUUGUAAUUGAGCAGGGAUCUAUGAUGUACAAAUUUUCAUUAAGGGAAAAAAUCGGAUAUUCAAUUCUAGGAAUGGUUCCUGUUUUCAUUCAUUAAUAUCGAAGAAUUUUAAUCACUAGCAGAAUGGUCAAACUAUUCAUGCAUGUAUCACUCACUUUGAAUUGAAUUGACUUCUGAUUACUUGAAA